CCUAGGGUGGGCAGCAGUGAGGAAUAUUGGUCAAUGGGCUUACGCCUGAACCAGCCAAGUCGCGUGAGGGAAGACUGCCCUAUGGGUUGUAAACCUCUUUUGUCAGGGAGCAAUUGGCGCUACGUGUAGCGUUAUCGAGAGUACCUGAAGAAAAAGCAUCGGCUAACUCCGUGCCAGCAGCCGCGGUAAUACGGAGGAUGCGAGCGUUAUCCGGAUUUAUUGGGUUUAAAGGGUGCGUAGGCGGAAUGCCAAGUCAGCGGUAAAAUCGCGGGGCUCAACCAUAGAAUUGCCGUUGAAACUGGGAGGCUUGAGUAUGUUUGAGGCAGGCGGAAUGCGUGGUGUAGCGGUGAAAUGCUUAGAUAUCACGCAGAACCCCGAUUGCGAAGGCAGCCUGCCAAGCCAUGACUGACGCUGAUGCACGAAAGCGUGGGGAUCAAACAGGAUUAGAUACCCGAGUAGUC
rnacentral:rRNA from 1 species